AAAAUAAUGAUUCCAUAUUUGCCAUUUGGAACCCUGAGAAUCCAUCUUCUUCUCCCAGACAGACCUUUUGGACGGAGAAGACUCCGUCAUGAAAUCGCUGGGUUGUGAGCACAGGGGAGCUGUUGGGGCCACAUCAAAAUACAAAGCUUCUGCACAGCAAAGGAAACAAUCCACAAAACUGAAAGACAACUUACUAUAUUUGCAGCACCAUUUACAAGAGCCACACUACGGAAGCAAUAGAUGAAUGGAUGAAGAAGAUCUGGCAUGAAACCAGAAUGCGAUGUGUAUCACAGGCGAUCCUCCGAGAGAUUGCGAAGACAAGGAGACUGUAGCCCGCUGUGCAGCCAAGCAGAUGCAGCCCACUAUGGAUGAACUGUGACUACUCCUCAAGCCAGAGGCCCUGACAAUACUAUUUGUUACACACAGUUAUGAGGAGCGUAGAUUUAUAGUACAUCUUGCAAUCAGGGAGUGUGAAUCCUCCAACUUUUUCUUGUUCAAAAUAGUUUUAGUUCUUUGUUUUUUUGCAUACAUUUUAGAAGAAGCUUGUGAAUAUCUACCAAAAAUCCCACUCGGAUUUUGACUGAGAUUGCGUUGCUCUGUUGAUGAAAUUAGGGGAGGAUUGACAUCUUAAUAAUAUUGAAUUUUCUGACCCACAAACAUAGGCUCUCUCUCCAUUUAUUUAGGUCUUCUUUGAUUUUUCGCAUCAACAUUUGUAGUUUUCAGCAUUAAAAUCUUAGAUUUAUCCCAAAGUAGUUCAUGGUUUUUAAUGCUA